UGUGUGUAUGGAUGUACAUGUUUGUGUGUUGCUGGAAGUUGAAUCCUUGUGGGUAGAUGUGUUCCUCUAGGUCGGGAAGUCCAGGGGUAGCCAACUUCUCCUCCUUGACCUAGGUGUCACGGGGUGUGACAGCAGGUGCGACCAGCCUUGGAGAGAUGGUGUCUUCAGGAGAAAACUAGGUCAUAGUCUUCUCUGAGAAUGAAGGACAAAUCAACAAUGGUUUCAGAGUCCCAGGAGGUGACUGGAGUUUGAGAAGAAACCAGGCAUCGCACCCUUUAGAGCUGGAAGGGACCUUCAAGCUCUCAAUCUAUGACCACUGCUUGCUGCUCAUUUCUAGCAAUGAGAAUUGCCCCAAAGUGGAAAAUCCUUCCUCUGGAGGUAGAGCGCUCCCCAUCCCUGGAGGUAUUCAAGGAGAGAGACUGGAUGAUCACUUGAAAGAGACAUCUUAGAAGGGACUAAUAAUAAACAUGAUAGCUGAUACA